rnacentral:rRNA from 1 species
UACAGAGGGGGCAAGCGUUGUUCGGAAUUACUGGGCGUAAAGGGCGCGUAGGCGGUCCGCUAAGUCUGAUGUGAAAGCCCGGGGCUCACCCCCGGAAGUGCAUUGGAAACUGGCGGACUCGAGUCCCGGAGAGGAGAGUGGAAUUCCUGGUGUAGCGGUGAAAUGCGUAGAUAUCAGGAGGAACAUCAGUGGCGAAAGCGGCUUCCUGGACCAGAACUGACGAUCAGGCACGAAAGCGUGGGGAGCAAACAGG